UGGUUUCGCCCAGCUUCAGCGAAAGGCCAUUUUGAGGACCGCAAUCGCAGUCGAACAAUGGUGGUUUGGCGAGUGAAAUUCUCCGGUAUCUUGUCUCCUUCAGCCUAACGGAUUGCCAUGCCCGGCGCGGGGAUACCUCCAGCUUGAUCGGACCAUCAUGUACACGCAGAGCAGGUCAUCUCCCGACGGCCGGAGUCCCGGCAGUUCGGGGCACCAGUCGCGACCAGGUAAUUCCCACACUGCGCCCCGGCCGCAGGCCCAGCACCGCUCCCCCUCCCUCGGUAGAAAGAACUCAGCUUCCAGCAUGUCGAUGGAGAACAUCCAGUCCCUGAACGCUGUCUACAAUACAGGUAUGUCCUCGUACAUUGAUCCUAUCGGCAGUCCGACUCACGUACCACGAUCAGGCCGCUCAUCUCCGUUACGUAGUCCUGCCGCUUCCGGGCACUCCCGGUCAGGUUCCUUCGGGGGCUCCCCUCUCCCCGCCCGCGGGUCCAGCCCCAACCUCCCCGCCAGCUCCAGUGCUGACACGGUCUCGGCGAACAUGGCUUCACAACUACCCCACAGCCACGAGCUGAGGCAAGUCCGGGACAAUGUGAUGGUCGAUCUGCAGUCUCAGACCAAGGAACUGCAGCGGGAGAACUCAGCCUUAAGGAAGGAGAUAGAGAUCAAGGAGGGGAAGCUGCAAUCUUCCAUGAACUCAAUCAAGACGUUCUGGAGCCCCGAGCUGAAGAAGGAGCGAGCCAUCCGGAAGGAAGAGGCCAGCAGACUUGCACUUCUCAAGGAGCAGCUGAGGGUCACAUCUGAGGAGAACCAGCACCACCAACUGACUAUCCAGGCCCUACAAGAUGAACUGCGAACCCAGCGAGACCUCAACCAACUCUUCCAGGAGGGGACAGUCAAACCCGGAACCUCCUCCUCCCAGUCAGACCUGGACUAUGAAACCUUGUGGUCGGAAAACGAGCGGAAAAACAAGGAACUGUUCCUUCUGCGCAAGACGGUGGAGGAGUUGGAGAUUCGCAUCGAGACGCAGAAACAGACGCUGUCCGCACGAGACGAGUCGAUCAAGAAGCUGUUAGAAAUGCUGCAGAGUAAAGGGUUAGCCAUGAAGAGUAUGGAGGAGGAGAGGGGGGAUUACGACCGCGUCAAGAGCAAGAUGAUCGAAGCCGAGGCCAAAGUCACACACCUGGAGUCCAGCCUGGAGCAGCGGGACAGGGACAUCAACAACCUGAAGGAGGAACUCCUGAAGUAUUCGGACAACAGCCACCAACUCCGCUCCCACGGUUCCCACGGUCACCACCACAUGCAGCGCAACGGUCAGCAGAACGACCUCCCCAAGGUCACCGCACUGCAGGCCAUCAUUGAGUCCAAGGAGAAGAAGAUCAGUCAGUUGGAGAAGCAGCUGCGGGAGUUUGAGGAGGACCUGAUGUCGCUGCGGUCUAACGGUGCCGUCAGUUCAGAAGAGCGAGAGGAGGAAGUCAAACAGCUCGAGGUCUACAAGUCCCACUCCAAGUUCAUGAAGAACAAGGAAAAUGGCAGUUAUACCUCGGAUGAUAGUAACGCUUCGCCUCCAUGGGAAAACAUGACCCCUCUGUCUCCCCGGGCAGAGGCCUUCGUGCUGAACAAGAUUGACCAGCUCAAGUCUGAACUGAACAAGAAGGAGACGGAGAUGCUGACCAUGCAGACUAAGGUGGACACCAUGCACAACCAGCUCAAGGACCAGCAGCAACACAUCGACGUCUUAAAGGAGUCCCUGGCAGCCAAGGAGGAACACUCCAAGAUCCUGUCAGCAGACAUUGACUCGAUGCGGAUGCGGCUAGAAGAGAAGGACCAACUCCUGGAGAAGAAGAACAAGCAAAUCUCCUCUUUCAGCUCGGAGAAGAACAAACACAGCUCCGAGCUGACAGAGGUCAAGGACAUGAUGGACAUCAAGGAGAGGAAGAUCACUGUGCUGCAGAGAAAGAAUGAGAAUCUUGAGGAGCAGCUAAAGGAUAAGGACAAGCAGAUCUCCACCAUGAAGGAGAGGGUCAAGUCACUUCAGCAGGACACUAGUAACUCGGACAGUGCUCUUAUCACUUUGGAAGAAGCACUCAGCGAGAAGGAGCGGCAGAUAGAGAGAUUGAAAUCCCAAAGAGAGCGUUCAGAGGGCGAGCGACAGGAAGAACAGGACAACCUGACAAAGGAAAACAAAGAGCUGAAGGACAAGGUGGAGACCCUGCAAAACGAGCUGGCUGAGAACCAGUCCAACCUUCUCGAUCUAAAAGAACAUGCGUCUUCUCUUGCCUCCAAUGGCCUGAAAAAGGACUCGCGUCUCAAGCAGCUGGAAAUCCAGUUGUCACAGAAAACAGAGGAAGUCAACGAGCUUGAGAUGCAAGUCAAACGGCAAGCAAGGCAAGUCCGUGCAGCCAAGGAGUCUGCUGAGCAGGCGGCGGCCAAUAAGGAGGCAGCGGAGAAGUCUGGUAUGCUGGAGGACCAGGUGAAGCAGUUCCGUGACGAGGUGACCAAGUCUCAGCAGGAGGUGGACCGACUGCUGGAGAUCCUGAAGGAGACAGAGAACGAGAAACACGAGAAGGACCUCAGGAUCAGAGAGCUGGAGAGACAAAUGCGUGACUCCAACAAGAAGCUGGCCUCGAUAAAGCACCGUGAACAAACAGAGAAAAAGAAGAAUGCACAGCUUUUGGAGGAGGCCCGCAAGCAUGCUGACGACCAAUCAGAAAGCUCCCAGCAGAUGCAGCUGAAAAUGGGAGUCAUGGAAGAAAAGUCGAUAGUUCGUCAGAAGGAGGACAGAAUAGAGGAGCUGGAGGAGGCCCUGAGGCAGAGUGUGAACAUCACUGCAGAGAGAGAGAUGCUGCUGGCACAGACACAGGCUGGGAAACAGACGGUAGAAAAACAGGUUGACGAAAUGACACAGGAGAUUGACAGAAUGAAGAAGCACCUUCAGGCCACCAAUGCCAAGUUGGCGUCCACAUCACUCAGCCUGCAGGAGAAGGAGGACCGUCUGGCCCAGCUACGUGCCGACAGGAAAAAACAGUUACUGGAAGUUAUGGAGAUGAAACAGGAGGCGCUGCUGGCAGCCAUCAGUGAGAAAGAUGCCAACAUCGCCCUGUUGGAACUCUCCUCCUCCAAGAAGAAGAAGACGAUGGAUGAUGUGGCAGCACUGAAGAGGGAAAGGGAACAGUUUGUACAACAACUUAAACAACAGAAUCAGAACCGCAUUAAACUGAUGCACGACAACUUUGAUGAAGAAAUGAACGGAUCGUCCGUUACUGAUGGACAGGGCCCCUCCCCUGAUCAGCACUUACAGAAAGGCCCCAUAGCUUCUCCAUCAUGCGAACAAGGCCCCAUAACCUCAGCGACAGACCUCUUAUCGCCCUCAGGGACAGAGCUUCUAUCGCCCUCUGAUCUUGCUUCUCCUAAGGAGGAGGAGGAAGGCAUUUGGGCAUAGCAUCAACAACUAGCACAGAUUGACACCCUUUAUAGGUUAAAUGCACAGCUGCUGGGAAUGCUGGAGGACUUGCAGGAGGGCCAGCGGAAGCUGAAGGCGUACAUCGACCAUCUGGUAGCUCUGAGUCUGGAGAAGGACAAGACUCUGCUGGAGGGGCUGCCGCGCACACAACAGGACCAGGUCCGCUCCAUGGAGAAACUCAAGGAGCUGGACUAUAAUGAGUUAUUGGAGGAGUACCGCAGGCAUGAGGAGGACAAUGCCAGUCUGCAGCUGUACGCAGACACUCUGCUGCAGCGCAUCGCAGACCACCAUCCUGACGUGCUGGAGCGGGUCGUCAUGGCGUUGGAGGGGGCCGGGUAACCAUGGCAACACGAUCAUGUGAUCAGUGUCGUCCAAUGGUGAACCUUUAGCAUGGAAGAAGAUGAUCAUUUAGUAGAAGGACACGAGUUUUGAGAUUGAUAGAAGAUUGUGGUAUGCGAGGGAGUACUCCAGCAAGUUUGGAUUGGCAGAAGAGAAUUGUAACAAACAAGCCCAGAUGGUCAGAACCUUUUGAUAACCUCCUGCAAGUUCGAAAGGCAUCACAGCAGAUCCAUUGUACACGUAUAUCGGGUGUCGACUGAUGCUAGGUCCUAACAGUAACAAACUAUCACACAGUAACAAUGCAUACAGAAUUUUCUGAAGUUCUGAAGACUACAGCGUUUACACACAGGACUAUAUUUGUACAGAGUGGAAAACUGAUAGGCAUUGUCCACAUGCCCCAUCAGAGCUUCUCUCAGUUUCAACAAAUGGGCAAAAAAGUCCCCUUUUCCAGACAGUCACAAGACUAAAGAUGAAUAAUCAUUUCAGGUCUUUCUUCCCUCAACCAAUGUGACACAACCUUUUGAACCAGAAAAAGGAAAAGCCAUUAUUGUAUACUUUAUUAUAUAUUGUACAAUGUUCAGAGAAAAUCAUUCUGUGAGUAACAAAAUGCUUGUGAAUGUUGCAUGGAAAGGAAAACAGAACAAAACUUGAAGAACAAACAAGAAGAUUAUGUCUUGUCAGUAUUGUAGUAAGGCUAUGUGUAUGGUUGGCUGAACAGAAGUUUGGUUCUACAAAAUGGAGACGAGUGGUGGUAAGUUGUACUGUAGCACAGGCUGUGGUUGGCCAAACUACAGUCACAUGAUGUGCUGCUAUGAGAAACUCACAUUGGUUUUCCCGGUGGAUCUUACAGGGAAAAUGUCUGCCUCAUUUUUGCUCUUCAGUUUUAGUUGUAAUUACUGUUAACUGUGAUACUCUAAAGGAUGACAGUUUUGGAAGAUUUGAUAACUGAACAGCCAUGUAUCAAACCAGAUCACUAUUCCUCAGAAUGAAAUGGGUUUUUUUUUAGUUAGACAAAACGUAUGCCACUGAAAAAUAUCUGUGCCACCCCAAGAGUAGGCUAGAGUCAGAAGAAUGAGUCUAAGAUGUUGGAUUUUAUUAAGGAUCCUGUAGAAAAAUUGUACAAAGCUGAAUUUUGUGUUAAGUGUUUGUAAUGUAAUAAUGUACCAAGUGUUGCCAGUGCAUUUGUUAGUGCUGAUGUGUCUUGUCAAAUCUGAUUGGUAUUUGAUUGGCCAAUCAUAUAUCCCUAUUCAAUUGUAUGAUUAGAUCAGAAUGUUGCAUCCCAUUGAAACUGAUUGGCUGAUUGGUCAUAGCCAAUCACAUCUUCAUGAAUCACCACUGACACAAAAUGACAUAUUCUCAACUGUGGGGUCUAAAAUUAAUGGGAAGGGGGCUUGUACAGAAGUUCAUGUAGGAUGUUGUUUUAGCAAGGACUUGCGAAGAGCCAGUGACCACUAAGAGUUACUGAGAAUUGUUUUUUUAGCUUUCAUAUGUUCAAGAAUUGACAAAGUCCCAUUUCGACAGUUAUGAUACUUGUACCCUCUGCAUCUUGUUAACAGAGACCAUCAAAGUUGUAACAAAGUGCUAUUGUAGAGAUGUUGAUGUACACAGGUAGGUAAUCAUCAAACGCUGAAGUAUUUUCAUCACCUUACUACUCACAGAUACAGAUUGUUAUUCCUACAACUGCUUCUCAUGUACGGUAAUAUGUAAAUUGUAAUGAACUAGCCACAUUAUAUAUUGUACAGGCCUUGACAGAUUUUAAAGCUUUGACAUCUACCCACCAUUGCAAUGUUAUAACCAGUUGAUAUGAUAUUGCCCUAGGAUGUAGAUACAAAUCAAAUGAUGUUUUAGAAGCCGUUAACAUUGGCUUGUUUAGAUGUAUUUAUAGUAGAUAAAGCAUUGAGCCCUAUUGUAGAUGCUUGAUUUGUUGCUACAGACAGCAGCACAUUGUGAUAUUUGAUGAAUGUAUGCUUUGUUGCGAUGUGGAAAAUACAGCCGUCCUUAUUAAAUUA